AGAUGAUAAAAGAAACAGGAUAGAAAGGAAUUCUGCCCAUCAGCUGAGUAUGUACAACUGAUUAGUGACCAGAGUCAGAUGUCAAGAAAAAAGCACUUCUGAUAUGAAGGAAGAAAUAGUUUAAUCCUAGAAAAUGUUAAAUAUGGUUAAAUAUGGUUAAAUAUGGUUAAAUUAAAUAUUUAAAUUUGUAGAGCUUUCAUAUGAAGUUUUUAUAUUAGAAAGGCACUGGAACACCAAAGCAUUUUUCCAAAGUGUUUGUAUGCAAUUUUGUAACUUAAUUUUUUAUGAUAGCUUUGUGAAAGACCUACACAGUAUAAUGAAAACAUUUGGUAUGAUUCAAGUCAUUAAUUACUGAAGAAAAUUUAAGUCAUUUAGUGUAAGCAUGUUCACAGUAAAAUCUGUCUGAUUGUACUAAACUCCUGUUCUGGUAGAUCAACCCUCUGGGCUUGAAGAAGUGCCAUCCAGGCAUGCUAAUAAUGCUUUUAGAGAAAGAUACCGCACAGCAGUCCACACAGAAGAUUCAGUACUUCUGCGUAAUCCCCAGCCCUUCUUCCUUUCAAGCACAGAAGAGUCUUGCACAUAUAGCGAAGGUCAAAACU
rnacentral:lncRNA from 1 species